AACGAACGCUGGCGGCAUGCCUAACACAUGCAAGUCGAACGAGACCUUCGGGUCUAGUGGCGCACGGGUGCGUAACGCGUGGGAACCUGCCUUUAGGUUCGGAAUAACUCAGAGAAAUUUGAGCUAAUACCGGAUGAUGUCUUCGGACCAAAGAUUUAUCGCCUUUAGAUGGGCCCGCGUUGGAUUAGCUAGUUGGUGGGGUAAAGGCCUACCAAGGCGACGAUCCAUAGCUGGUCUGAGAGGAUGAUCAGCCACACUGGGACUGAGACACGGCCCAGACUCCUACGGGAGGCAGCAGUGGGGAAUAUUGGACAAUGGGCGAAAGCCUGAUCCAGCAAUGCCGCGUGAGUGAUGAAGGCCUUAGGGUUGUAAAGCUCUUUUACCCGAGAUGAUGAUGACAGUAUCGGGAGAAUAAGCUCCGGCUAACUCCGUG
rnacentral:rRNA from 1 species